AGUUGUGGCUUAGUUGCCCCAUGCAUGUGGGAUCUUAGUUCACUGACCAGGGAUCAAACCCACGUCUCCAACACUGGAAGGUGGAUUCUUAAUCACUGGAUCACCAGGGAAGUCUCUUGUGUGUUUUCCUAAACUGAAUGAUCAUAUGCAAAGAAAUACAAUUAGCCUUGAAGUCAGAGCUUGAAAGGAAUAAGGUAUAGAAAACCUGCUACACCGAGUGGUCAGAACUUUAGUGUCUUUCCUGAUCAAGUGAGUUCAUAAUUCUAUGUAUCUUUAAUACAGAAUGCAGCUACUCCCCCACAGUCAAGCUUUCAGGGAGUGCAAUUAAGCACCAUGUUAAGCUAAUUGGUAGUUCUUUGCAGGGGUUCAUGUUGAAGGUGCAGUGGGUCUCUGGUUUUCGUUGAGAAACCAUUCAUUUCCUACUUGGAGUUGAUCCAAGGGUGAACACAUGACCCAAGCCUGGCCAGACAGCAUUGUUUAACACCUAGACAUAGACAUGUAAGUCCAUCCAACCAGAGUCAGUCCUGGAUCUUUCGAUGGAACUUAGGAAAUCCAGAAGCACUCUGUCUGCUAGAUGCACACCAGGAGCUGCUGACAGUCAUCUUGCCGCCCUGAGAGAAGACCUUCUUGAAGAUGGAGCCAUCACAGACCGGAGAAUGAAGAGAUGGAGGCAGUAUCAUUUGUCUGCAAAAAUACAGGGAAGCCUAACCAACAGAUUAUUCAUUUGAAUUGUUGCUAUGACAAGAGAAGAGAUAAAUCUCAAGGGACUCAAUUUUUGUAUCUUAUGGCAAUCAAGCUGGGUGAGACAUUUCCAUUCAAGUACUAUGCACAUGCCCUGCUACCUGGGACCCUAUACCCUUUUCUGCCAAGCCACUCCCAUCUAAAGAGCUUAAUCCCAUAACUUGGGAGUCACCACAGUCAAGAUAAUGAACACAUCCAUUACUCCCCAAAACCCCCUCAUGCGCCUUUAUCAUCCUUCCCUUUAACCCCUCCUGCCCCCACCACAUAACCCCUCAUCCACUUUCUGUUGCUGUACAUUAGUUUGCACUUUCUGGAAUAUUCUGUAAAUGGAUUCUUACAACAUGUACUCUUUUUUUUUGGUCUGGCUUCUUUCACUCAGUAUAAUUAUUUUGAAAUU